AUUAGUUUUUUAAUUGAAGGCUAGAAUGAAUGGUUGGACAAGAAAUAAUCUGUCUUAAAUUAAGAUAUUGAAUUUAACUUUAAAGUGAAAAGGCUUUAAUGAUCUAUUGGGACGAUAAGACCCUAUAAAACUUUAUAUUUUAAGGUAGAAAUUAAUUUUAUUUUAAGGUUACUAUUUUAAAAUGUUUUGUUGGGGCGACAAGGAUAUAAGAAAUAAUAACUGUCUUUUAUUUUUACAAUAAUAUUUGAUUUAUUGAUCCUAAAAGGGAUUAAAGAUUAAGUUACUUUAGGGAUAACAGCGUAAUUUUCUUUGAGAGUUCUUAUCGACAAGAAAGUUUGCGACCUCGAUGUUGAAUUAAAGGUUCUUUAUAGAGUAGAGACUAUAAAAGAAGGUCUGUUCGACCUUUAAAGUUUUACAUGAUUUGAGUUCAGACCGGUGUAAG
rnacentral:rRNA from 1 species